AGAAGCUGUCAGCAGGAGGUCUGAUCUACACGUGUCUUCAUGAGCUCAUGAAGACAGGCAUGAGGUCUUUAAAUCAGUUGUCAGAGUCACAACUUCAAAUAAAGACUGAUGUUAUGCCGUGUCUGCUGGAUGUGGAGGAGAGUAUCAUCCCAACCCUCAGUAGGAUCUCUCCCCCUCUGUGGACCUCCCCUGGGCAAAAGAGAAGAUUAAAACAAACAGGACUUUAAUCAGUGGGCCCCGUUUCUCUCUGCUCAGCUGCCGACAGAAGGAGCCCUCUCCAGGAAGGCUGCCUCAAAUCAAAGCUUCCUGCUCGCCACUUGCUGCUUCGCCGAUCCGUAUCACAACAACAAAACCAGCAGAAACAAUUAUUUAUUCCUUUUGAUGUGGGUUUUGAAGUUACCCCACCUCUUCCACUAUGCACCCCCAUCCACCCCAUCCUCCUUCCUCCACCCCUCCUCUUCCUUGCCCUGCCCCUCCAGCUUUUCUGUAUCUUUUAUUCCCAAGGAAACAAGGUCAUGCCAGCUUCUCCGUAAAGGAGGCUGCUUUGAAGGAGCAGCAGUUCCAGUACCGGCUUUUUCUUAUUUUACACCAAGGAAAGUGUGUCGCUUGAGAAAAAGCUGACGAGUUGCUUCGUUUAACUUAACUGCCAC